GAGAGGUAUGAUACAGGUCCCCUAGAGAGAGGUAUGAUACAGGUCCCCCAGAGAGAGGUAUGAUACAGGUCCCCAAGAGAGAGGUGUGAUACAGGUCCCCCAGAGAGAGGUAUGAUACAGGUCCAAUAGAGAGAGGUAUGACACAGGUCCCCCAGAGAGAGGUAUGAUACAGGUCCCCUUGAGAGAGAGGUAUGAUACAGGUCCCCCAGAGAGAGGUACGAUACAGGUCCCCCAGAGAGAGGUAUGAUACAGGUCCAAUAGAGAGAGGUAUGAUACAGGUCCCCCAGAGAGAGGUAUGAUACAGGUCCAAUAGAGAGAGGUAUGAUACAGGUCCUCCAGAGAGAGGUAUGAUACAGGUCCCCCAGAGAGAGGUAUGAUACAGGUCCAAUAGAGAGAGGUAUG